UUCUCUUGAGCUAUUUUUAUAGCCUACCUUUUAGGGGUGGGAAGUACAAAGUUCCAUCUUGAAUUGAUGGGUAGACCGACAUGACAGCAGCCUAAGCUUCAAGCUACAGUCUGAGACCUGGGAAUAAUGGAGGAUCAGAUGGUGACAAGGGUCUCAGCAGGGUCCGGCAGGCCAGGGAAGACCAGUCUGACAGAGCAACAGUCUUCCAACGACCUUCCACCUCCCCACCACCACCAACUGAAGGCCCGUCAUCGGAUCUCCAUUCUCCCAGUGAGGGGGUUCGAUGCCAGCUGCCCAGCAUCUGAGGAGCAUUCCUCUGAGACGAGGCCUACGCCUACCCCAAACUAUUCAAUAAAAUUACAUAUUGUAUUCUA